rnacentral:lncRNA from 1 species
AAAAAAUCCCAACCCUCCAAGAUGUACUCCCGAUAGCUGUAAAGCCUUAUGUUUCACAAAGAAAAAACUACUGAUAAGUAAAUGCCUUACUAGAAAUUUCGGAUGCCAGUGUGAGAUUGACUGCGCUAACUGAUUUUUUAUAUACAUUAAAACUCGAUUAAUAUUUAUAAUAAUACUAUGUAUUUGUCAUAAAUAAAUAUAAAUAACAAAUAUUGAUACAU